UUAAAUUGAAGAGUUUGAUCAUGGCUCAGAUUGAACGCUGGCGGCAGGCCUAACACAUGCAAGUCGAACGGUAACAGGAAGCAGCUUGCUGCUUCGCUGACGAGUGGCGGACGGGUGAGUAAUGUCUGGGAAACUGCCUGAUGGAGGGGGAUAACUACUGGAAACGGUGGCUAAUACCGCAUAACGUCGCAAGACCAAAGAGGGGGACCUUCGGGCCUCUUGCCAUCAGAUGUGCCCAGAUGGGAUUAGCUAGUUGGUGAGGUAACGGCUCACCAAGGCGACGAUCCCUAGCUGGUCUGAGAGGAUGACCAGCCACACUGGAACUGAGACACGGUCCAGACUCCUACGGGAGGCAGCAGUGGGGAAUAUUGCACAAUGGGCGCAAGCCUGAUGCAGCCAUGCCGCGUGUAUGAAGAAGGCCUUCGGGUUGUAAAGUACUUUCAGCGGGGAGGAAGGUGUUGUGGUUAAUAACCACAGCAAUUGACGUUACCCGCAGAAGAAGCACCGGCUAACUCCGUGCCAGCAGCCGCGGUAAUACGGUAAUACGGAGGGUGCAAGCGUUAAUCGGAAUUACUGGGCGUAAAGCGCACGCAGGCGGUCUGUCAAGUCGGAUGUGAAAUCCCCGGGCUCAACCUGGGAACUGCAUUCGAAACUGGCAGGCUUGAGUCUUGUAGAGGGGGGUAGAAUUCCAGGUGUAGCGGUGAAAUGCGUAGAGAUCUGGAGGAAUACCGGUGGCGAAGGCGGCCCCCUGGACAAAGACUGACGCUCAGGUGCGAAAGCGUGGGGAGCAAACAGGAUUAGAUACCCUGGUAGUCCACGCCGUAAACGAUGUCUACUUGGAGGUUGUGCCCUUGAGGCGUGGCUUCCGGAGCUAACGCGUUAAGUAGACCGCCUGGGGAGUACGGCCGCAAGGUUAAAACUCAAAUGAAUUGACGGGGGCCCGCACAAGCGGUGGAGCAUGUGGUUUAAUUCGAUGCAACGCGAAGAACCUUACCUGGUCUUGACAUCCACGGAAGUUUUCAGAGAUGAGAAUGUGCCUUCGGGAACCGUGAGACAGGUGCUGCAUGGCUGUCGUCAGCUCGUGUUGUGAAAUGUUGGGUUAAGUCCCGCAACGAGCGCAACCCUUAUCCUUUGUUGCCAGCGGUUAGGCCGGGAACUCAAAGGAGACUGCCAGUGAUAAACUGGAGGAAGGUGGGGAUGACGUCAAGUCAUCAUGGCCCUUACGACCAGGGCUACACACGUGCUACAAUGGCGCAUACAAAGAGAAGCGACCUCGCGAGAGCAAGCGGACCUCAUAAAGUGCGUCGUAGUCCGGAUUGGAGUCUGCAACUCGACUCCAUGAAGUCGGAAUCGCUAGUAAUCGUGGAUCAGAAUGCCACGGUGAAUACGUUCCCGGGCCUUGUACACACCGCCCGUCACACCAUGGGAGUGGGUUGCAAAAGAAGUAGGUAGCUUAACCUUCGGGAGGGCGCUUACCACUUUGUGAUUCAUGACUGGGGUGAAGUCGUAACAAGGUAACCGUAGGGGAACCUGCGGUUGGAUCACCUCCUUACCUUAAAGAA
rnacentral:rRNA from 1 species